AGAUUCGAAACUCCGCACGCUCUGCUGAGUGCCUGCGGGAUGGGAGGGGGCGCCAGGGAAGGAGUGCGCGAGGAGGAGCGUUGCAAAUGUCGUGACAAGAAGUUUCCGUGCGCCCGAGAGCGUGUGAAUUGCUCCUAAUUACCGUGUCCGGUGCGCCUCUCCGCGUAGACGUGUGUAACCCCUCUACUCCUGGGGCUCCGGCUCCACUGAGCCACUCUCCCUUGGCCCGGGGCGCUUGGCAAGGCCUAGCUUCCCAAGUGGCCCCGGAGGCCUGGGGCGGGACAGGAGCAGGUGACAAUUCAAUUACCGCUGUCGAAGUGGGAGUGGAACCCGGGUGCCGGGGUGGGGGAGGGAGGGCGUUCACCGCAGACUUGCCAAGAUGGUUUUUGCUGGCUUCCUUCUGACCGUGACCGUGUGCUUCCACGUCCGACGGGCUCCGAGGUAGUUGAGAGCCGGUUUGCUCCCUUCCCCCGCCCUCUAUCACCUUUAAUGCUUAGUUUCUUCGUUUGCAAAGUCCUGACACCGUGGGCGUCACGGAGUGCCAAAGUAAAAAGCCGCCUUUGCGACUCCCCAGAUCCUCUGGAGGCUGGAGGAACCGGCCAGACGGUCAGACCCAUCAGCCCACAAGACUUCCGCAGGGGGCGAGGGCACUGGACCUGCUUUGACUUGGCCUUCCUCGACCCGUGCUGACGUCACGGCCCGAGAACCCCCUUGGGUCUGCGGAGGAGAGUAAAGAAAAUUCGUUUAAAUGAAAUGCGAAACUAUCUCCUUACUCCCUUUCCGAUCCCUGCCGUGCGUUUUGGCAUUGAUUUUUAGAAACCCUUGGGCGUCGGAAGUCGGGUCUCUGCCACUGCAGACGGUCAUCUGCUAGGCACCCAGAGCCUGCCUCAGGAGGACCCGCGACUGGGACUGGAAAGAAGAGGAGAUCAGCAGGACCCCAAAACAGAACCAUGGUCCUGCAAGGGUCAGGAUGCGCUCCGCCCAAGGAGCCAACUGAGGAUCCGACUGGGGGAGAUAAGAAGGGGCGUUGAGCCUCAGAAUCUAGCAGACAGCUUCCAGAAAGUUCGCCAGGCCUGUUUCAAAGGAGCCUGGACACGAAUAAUAUAGAAUAGUAGCCUGGUGCCCGCCACAGGGAAAGUUCUCCAGAGCCGGGAGAAAGGAUUUGAUAGGGAGUUAAGGGUCUCGAGAUCUCCAGGGGCCAGAGGGUAGAAUAACUCUGACUAUGCCUGAGUGCUGGCCUGUGGGAGGGAGGGGCAGGGAGGCUUCGCGUGCUGCCAGAUUCCACGCGAGGCUUCUACUCGCCUGCUUUUAGAGCUUUUGGGGGGAAUAUUUCAGAAAAAAAAUGUGGACCCCCAAACAAAAUAACCUAACCAGAUCCGCUUAGUUUUCUGGGAAGGGUGGCCUAACUUUUCUCGCACCUGAGGCUUGCGCACUUAGAUGUCCUGACACUUAGAUGGAGACGACAACGGUUACCGGAACCCCAGCUCUUGCUUUGAGCUGGAUCGAACCUGUUUUGUCUUGUCUUGUUUUGUUUCUUCCUUUCCCACAGACAGGGUUGUUUCAUAGUGUAACAAGCCCUGCCUAGACUCGCUUUGUAGACCAGGCUGGACUCUGAACACACAGAGAUCCGCCUGCCUCUGCCUUUCCAGUGCUGGGAUUAAAGUCCUGAGCCACCA
rnacentral:lncRNA from 1 species